rnacentral:lncRNA from 1 species
CUUUCGCGUCUGCGGUGCCCGGAGUGUGGUACUUCUCCUAGUUGCAGUCAGGCUUCAUACGCUAUUGUCCUGCCCGUUAGAGCAGCCAGCGGGUACAGAAUGGAUUUUGGAAGAGGGAGUCACCACUGGACCUCCAAGGAAGCCACGUGCAGACAUCUACAACCUUCGAUCUCCUGACGAGUAAGUCUUUGUCUCCUAUGGGUCUACUGUAGAAAACACGUGCUUUGAGAAGCUUUAGUUUUCUAGGAAAACGUGGGAUUUAACAAAGCACUUUCUAUCGAGCAUUUAUUAGGUAUUUAAAAAAGUGUUCUGACGGCCGGGCGCUGUGGCUGACGCCUGUAACCCCAGCACUUGGGGAGGCCAAGGCAGAUGGGUCACCUGAGGUCAAGAUUUGGAGACCAGCCUGGCCAACAUGGUGAAACCCUGACUCUAUUAAAAAUACAGAAAUUAGCUGGGCGUGGUGGUACGCGCCUGUAAUCCCAGCAACUCACAAGGCUGAGGCAGGAGAAUUGCCCGAACCCGGGCGGCGGAGGUUGUAGUGAGUUGAGAUUGCGCCACUGCCCUACAGUCGGGGCAACAGAGCCAGACUCCGUCUCAAAAAAAAAAAAAAAAGAAAAACAUGUUCUGAAUGUUUUAUUCUCACAGUUCAAAUAUUGGAACUAGGUUUCUGGUGAAGAAACAGGUUUAAGAGAAAUGCCUGAAGUGAAAGAACCUUGUUAGUGAAGAGGCGUUUAACAUUUUAAUGCCACUUAAACAUAUUUUUGGAUUCCAUUCUUCCUGUGUGUUGGGGCGCUUAAAUUUCCAAGUGGAGGGAUGAUUUAUUGACAUAUUUUGGAAAGCCAAAUGUGUUUUUCUGUUGAACUAGCCACUCAAACCAGUGCCCGACUACAUAACUAAUAUUUUUGCUAGAGUCCAGGAGUGAGGCGUUUACAAAGUCUGGGCUUCAUGGGAACACAUGUGAAGCUUAUUGUUCCAGAUUGUUCUUUUGUCAGGUAACUUGUGGUAACUUGUGUUAAAAUGCAAUCUCUUGGUACUUGUUCACUUCCCAACUCAGUAAAUGCCAACUACUUCCUCAACUCUUCCAGCCACACUGGCUUCUAUCAUGGGCCUGUACUCAGAGUGUAAGCACUGAAGACAGGGGUGUUUGGUUUGGCUACCAAGUUAUUGCCAGCUACAGGAUACAACACAGAAGUGCUCAAACACCGAAUGCAAAUUUGCAAAUAUGAAGCAUACCAACCAAAUCUUACUCCUCAUGGCUUUCAAAUCUUACUCCUCACUCAAGAACUUCCUGCUGGCAUAUAUGAUGACUUAGCUUUUUUCCCCGACAGAUCGACUAUGUUGAUCUAACUUUUCUAAGCCAGUUUCUGUCUGAUAUGCCAGCUUGAGCAGCUCCUUUGUCCCAGCUCCCCUGGGCAUCUAGCUGAUGGGAGCUCAUUUUUCUGUUUUUUCAUUUCAGGUUUAUUGUUGGCCAAAACCAGGCUUUGAUUGAACCAGGAUGAAUGCGGGUGUUGGAAGUAGAAUAUAUAUAUACAUAUAAAAUUGGUAAGUGGUGCCAACACGUCUUCCCUGGCUGAGUAGACACAGGCUCUGGAGGGGGUAGUAGCUGCUUUUCAGUGUGGGUUUGUCACCCUACUUCUUGUACGACUCAAAUGUGGCCUUUGCAGCUGAUGAUACAGCUUCUUUCCCCAUCAGAUCGACCCUGUUGAUCUCUACACUAUUGGCCAGUUUUGUCUGAUGCAUUGGCCCCAGUAAUAACUCCUAUCUUUGUUUUCUGCUUAUCUUUAUCAGAGACUAUUGCUUGUUCAUGGGAACUGGGCUUUCUCUAUUUUUUCCAGCAUUCAGAUGGCUUCUUUUGACCUGUUAACUUUCUAUAGGUUGGGAGCCACGUGUACCAGUGUGUGUUGAUCUUGGCUUGAUUCAGUCUGCCUUGUAACAGGUGAGGUUUCUGCUUUCUAUCUGCCAAACCCCACCGCAAAAUUUGUCCAACUGGGCCUAACCUCAGGACCCAUUUCCAAGUUGGGUAUAAAACUGGGAGAAUAAGUCAUUAGGACUGACAUUGGCCUGUUGGUAUUACUAGGUCUUUGUUGGAAAUAAGAGCUUGGAGUUCCAAAGAAAACGAGCACUUGAACAAAAGAUUUCUCAGCAAGGCAAAUUUACUUCUGCCGUAGGGUGCUGCUGCUGGCAUUCCUGGCAAGAGCACACCUAACAAAAGAGAGAAAGGGUUUUUAUUCCUAACAAGUAGUCCCUGCUUCUGUGUCCUAUCCCCAUUGGCUGGAGUCGACAGCGCAAUCUAAACUAGUCCUGAUUGGCUAUUUUAAACAGGAGGCAUGUGGGUUACAGCUGUGGGAAGGGCAGGAAACUUGUUUACAGAGCUGGUUGCUAGGAGUGAGGGGGACUUUUCCAAAUAGGGAACAGGUUACAGGUUGAGAUUGGCCGGAGAAGUUGUUUAUAGAACGGGUAACUCGGAGCAGGAAGGUAUGAGGAAGUUGACCUUAAGAACAAAGAACAAGGAAGUUAAAACUUUGAAGAGAAAUCCAUUGUAUCUAACGAUUUCCCCCUUUUGAUUUUUAUAAUUAUUUCUCUUCAGACUUGUUUUAGCGUGUCUUGAUUUUGUUCCUCUUGGUCCUCUGAAAUUAGAAGCUUAACUGAAUGAUGCGAGGGAGGAUUGAGGAAGAUUUUGGUGGGUGAGAGCUGUUAAAAUAAGCUUUUGUAUUAAUCCUCAGAUACAGGGUAUGAUACAGCAUCCUACAAGAAUGAGCAAACCUAUUCUGAUGGCAGGAGAUUGAGGACGUAAGUCCUUUCCAUUUGCGGAACUAUUUUUCCAUUAAAAUCGUGAAGGGGUCAUUUAUUCCAGAAUUUCUAGCUAGCUCAUUGGAUAAAGCAGUAAGUCCUUGGGCCUUUGUUAUGGUUCCAUCGGGAGCAGUAUUAUUAGGGAUGAAAGUACAACACUGGGUUCCAAUCAUGACACAAACUACACCUUUCUCCGCUAGUAUCAUGUCUAAUGCUAUUGUAUUUUCUCAGGCCGUUUGACUGGUGGGCCCUAAUUGUUAAACUGUUCCCUUAAUAGCAUCCCUAGUAUAAUUAAUGAAUCGUUGCUGGGUUACAUUUUUUGUGUUUUUUUUGAGAUGGAGUCUCACUCUGUCGCCCAGGCUGGAGUGCAAUGGUGCAAUGGUUCACUGCAACUUCCACCUCCUGGGUUCAACCUACUCUCCUUCAGCCUCCUGAGUAGCUGGGGGCUGUCACCAUGUUGGUCAGGCUGGUCUCAAACUCCUGAUCUUGUGAUCCACCCGCCUCAGCCUCCUAACAUGCUGGGAUUACAGGCGUGUGCCACCACUCCCGGCCCAAUCUACAUUUUUAUUUAGAGUUGACCACCAGAACAACAUGGAUUCAAACUUGCAGCUAUUUGAUUUUGGGCCUUAAAUCUAUCUGGCACUCCUCGUGGGAUUCCAAUGGCAUCUAUAUAAACAUGAGAGUCACGAGGGACAUCCAUUGUUUUAUGAUGUUCUGUUUUUAUGUAUGUUUUCUGGAUGAAAUACCAGGGUGAAAGGGAGAUAGCCAAUUGGAUUAGAGCUCAAGUGCCACGCCAAGUAACUUGGCAGAGUAUUCAGUAAUGGUCCACCACAACACCACCAUACGUUUGCUUGGGGAUGAAUAAGGGACGACUGAUUGGUAAGCUCCUGGAAGGGCUUAAGCUCACUGCAUCUCGUUAGGUCUCCAAGCAAAUUCAAGUUCUCCCCCUGUGAGAGACACGAGGUAAAAUUGGCAUUGGAAGACGGAUGCUUGAUGGCCCUCGGGGGCUGACCCGCAGGGUGUCGGACUUCAGGGGACUUCAGGAAACAGCAGCGAGAGAGUUUGGCAUAGCUUAUUGCCCCAGGUUGUGGGGUCUUGGAAGAGAGCUGCCAUACAACUUAAUGCCUGAUCGGCUGGAGGACGAUCCGAGUGGAAAGGGAACAAUCUGGGGCUCUGGCUUACCACGUGCGUAAGCAUAACAAUCGCUUUGUUUAGCGAGCGGACAGAAUGUUUAAUCCAUUCCAGCCAUGCAUUUGCAUCUCGGUACCGUUUCAAUUGGUAGAGUUUGCUUUAGAUCUUUAACCUCUACAAUGGUCACUUUGGUUUUGUCAUUGGGUGUUUGUUUAGAAGGGGAUGAAGGGGGUGGGGGAACAAUGAAGCGCAUUUCGAAAGAUCCUGUAGGGUCUAUCCCUAAUGUUGCGGCUCCCAUGCUGUAGAAGCUACUUAAAGUGGGAUUAGGAUUGGUGGAGGUAGAGGUAAGAAUAGAAAUUUGCACUGGGUUACAUUGGUGAUAUUGGCAAUUAGAGGGGGCCUUCCCUUUGAAACGAAGGUAGGGUUGUAGAGAGAUGCAGCUUUUUGGGGAAGUCUACCCUUGAGGAUCGGUAUUCCAUAGGACGUCAUUCCGGGAUGGGCAGAACCUCUCCUCAAACCCUUCCCAUUCCCAAACUGCAAAGAAUGUAAUGGAUUUAGUUUCGAUUAGGCAAGCAUUGUGUGAGGAUUUAGAAUUUAUCUUGGAAGGGCAGAGAUAUUUUUCUGAGAAGGCCAGUUGCCUCUGGUUUUGGAGAUCCCCACAGGAUAUGACAAGACAGGCAUCAAAUGUGAUUGAGGUGAGCUUGAUCUAGUUACAUUAAUGAUAAAAUAGCUGACGGUAGAGAGAGGAAAGAAGACAAGGCAGUAUAAGAGGGUUAAAGUUUUCGUAGCUUUAGGUUGGUAGAAAUUGGCCCUGGAACAAUAGCCCAUGACUCUGAAGAUGGUGAUGCUGUUUUGACUGGGGUAUGAUGGGUCCACCCCUUUUCGGCUGUUCGGGCUGCUGUUUCAGUUAGGAGUGCUAGGUAUGGUCCUUCCCAAGCUGGCUCCUUCCAGCUUUUGAUAAGGAUGUGAUCUCCAGGCUGGUAUUGAUGUACCAGGAACUGUAAGGGUGGCAUCUGUGCUAAAAUACCUUUAGUUCUGAGGUAAGAGAAAGUGGAAAGCCAAGUAUAUAAUUUGAUCCUUUGUUUCAAAGGUAGGAAUGUCAGUAGUAAGAGUGUAAAUAAGGCAGUCCACAUAACAGAGAGAUAGGCCAGUAUCUUUCUGAGAGGCAGUCCUGACUGAAUUAGGUGAAUCUGUAAACCCUUGGGGUAGGACUCUCCAUUGGUACUGCUGCUUCCAUCCAGAAUGAGGGUUUUCCCACUCAAAAGCAAAUACUUCUCUUGUCUUCAGCCAAGGGACAUGCCCAGAAGGCAUCUUUUAAAUCUGUUACUCUGAACCAUUGAUUGUCAUGGAAUUCUGCUGAGGAUGGUAAAAGGAUUGGGGACAACAGGGUGGGUAGUCUGGACUAUUUGGUUGAUAGCCUGGAGAUCUUGUACUAGUUGAUGAGACCUGUCUGAUUUCUUUACAGGUAAUACUGGGGUGUUAAUAGGGGGACAUACAGGGUUCAGGGAAUCAGUCCUGAAUGAGAACUUCAACUACAGGCUUUAAUUCUAUUCUGCCCUCUAGGGGAAUGGGAUAUUACCUUUUUCUUACUAUUUCCCCUGGGGUCUUUAACUUUGUAUGGAUUGGAGUGACUUGAAGUUUCUUUUUUUCUUUCUUUUUUUUUUUUGAGUUGGAGUCUCUGUCACCCAAGCUGGAGUGCAAUGGUGUGAUCUUAAGCCACUGCAACCUUUGCCUCCUGGGUUCAAACAAUUCUCCUGCCUCGGCCUCCUGAGUAGCUGGGAUUACAGGCGCCUGCCACUGCACCCAGCUAAUUUUUGUAUUUUUAGUAGAGAUGGGGUUUCACCAUGUUGGCCAGGCUGGUCUCAAACUCCUGACCUCGUGAUCCACCCACCUUGGCCUCCCAAAGUGCUGGUAUUUCAAGUGUGAGCCAGCAAGCCCAGCCUCCCUGAUUUCUUUUUCCUGCCCAUACAUGAGGAUGAAUGUAUUUUUCUUCUGCGGUGGUAAGUCUCUUCCUAAUAAGUUCGUUCCUGCCUCAGGGAUUAACAGGAAUUUAACAUGGGCUGAUCAAUUUUUGUAUAGACCUCUGUCUUUUAAGAUUUUUGCUUUAAAUCUUUUAUCCCUGAGAUAGAAAGUUCUUCUGAAGAACAGGUGAUAGAUACCAGAUGGGAGGGAACGGGAGCGAGCUGCUGCUGAAUCUGUAAGAAGGUUUUAAGUUCACAUUUGGGUCCCACCUCUAAAUUUAUCAGGGGCUCUUGGUGGGACUCAAGGUAAAAGAGACAGCCCCUGACCUCCCUAUUUUCCUGGAAGGCCAUAAGUGGAAUAUUUUUUCUUUUUCCCAUUUGGGGCAUUCUCUUUUGAAGUGACCUACUCUUCCACAUUUGAAACAUUUGUUUUCCCCUCUUCCCUGUCCUGCACUGUGACUUCCAGGUUUUAUUCCCUUACUCCUUGUAUACAGUUUGGUCGCUGGUGGCCUAGAGGGUUUGUAAGUUUUACUUCCUUGUGUCUCCUACUGCAGAGUUCUCUGUUGUAAGGUAGACAGCAUGAUUUUUGCCUUUUGUUUCUGCUGCUCUUUGUCCCUACUUAUAUGCUUCUCUAAGAAGUUAGUCUCUGGGACAAUCUUUCCAAUUCUCUAUCUUUUGUAGUUGUUUUUAGAGGUGUUUGGCCAAGUCUUAGUAACAAAAUGAAGCUUUAGCAUCCCUUGCCCCAGUGGGUCUUCCAUUUCUAAACCUGCAUAUUUUCUCAUCUGUUCUUUAAGCCUAUUUAGGAAUUCAUGGGUCCUUCAUCCAUCCCUUGUAUGUUGAAUGCUUGGGAAAUACUCUCAGUUCGGGAUACUGAUGGAACAUUUUGACCGGUAGGGUGUUAAUGUUCCCAGACUACCAAAGCAGCCCUAUGGAUCAUGGUUCUUCUCCCAAGAAGGGAAUGCCUAAAAUGGACAUAAGCUCGGCCCAUACAACUGGGGUCCUAAAAAAUGAUUUGAUCUGCUACCCCAUAAGGGUCAUCUAACAAGGGCUUGAGUUUUUCUUUUUUUUUAGAUUUUGUACUUCUGAGCUGGUUAAGGGGGCAUUUACGAAGCUGAUGCCUCCUCUCCCAAGGGGCACUUCUUCAAGGGGAAGAGAGUUGGGGGCAAUUCUUUGGAGGUGGAAAGGGGAAAGGGAAGUUCUGAGUAUCCUUUUUACAUUGUUCUAUUUCAUGCUGUAGGGCUUAAGUGUGUGGCUAGGGGGAACAUGGGGUAUUGAUUCAGGAUUAUAUGGGGGAGGGACUGAUGAGUGGGGGGAUCCUGUGUACCGGCUUGAUGCAUGGGGUUUGGCAGAGGCAAGUGGUCUGGUGGGUCCCAUAUGUUAGCAGGCUGUUCGGGGGUAGAGACCUUACUCCUUUCAGAGGAGUUGGCUUCUGGCUUGCUUCCUGUAGUUAUGUUUAGUCCUUUCACUAUCCUUUUAGCAUGAGAACCUAGGGGACUGUCAGAGGGGAUGUUACUGUCAUUAAUUUGAUCCUUUCUAUUUACUGUCUUUCUUGAGGUAUUUUGCAUAAUGAAGGUUUGGUGUGAGGCCCAAAAUUAGAUUUAUUGCCUUUCCUCAUAGGCUCAACCUCCCUUACUGGAGAUUUCUUGCCAUUCCUUUCUCUAGAGGGUCAGCCCCUGGCUACUGGAGAUUUCUUGCACUCUUCUCCUUUUGCUUCAUCCUUCUCUGGCUGCUUCCCAGGAGGGAAUAUUUCAGGUCCUCCUUAGCAUUGGUGUGUCAGUAUAAGCCCCAUGACAGGAAUCCACCAUAAGCUAUACGAGGUGACCAUGGAAUCACAGAUCCGGAAUCAUCGCUCGCUUCGCACUCAGUUGUGCGUCUCAUUGACACACUUUCAACCUCUAAAAUGCCCUGACCACCAAGGAAAUACUUUGUCGCCCCUGUGACUUUUCUUAACUUGGUCUGUGCAGUUACCUGGUCACCGCAGUAUGUGAGGAUCCUUUCCGCCUGUGUUGCUGAGAGUCUGGGUUUAUGUGUCACCUUGGGUGGGACCCAAUCUCCUGUUUGUGAGGCCACCGCAAAGAGGUGGUGGGAUGCCUCUCCUCAAGAGAGGUGAUCGUGGGCUUCUCCUGAAGGAGAACGGUAAUCCCAGAUGAGCUCCCAAAUUGUUGGCAAUAAGAGCUCAGAGUUGCAAAGAAAAUGAUCUCCAAAAGAUUUCUCAGCAAGGCAGAUUUACUUCUGCAGAAUGGUGCUGCUUGCACUCCUGGUCACAGUGAGAGCACCCCGAACAAAGGAGGUGAAGUGGUUUUUAUCCCUAACACAGCUAGUUCCUGCUUCUGUGUUCUAUCCCCAUUGGCUAGAGUCCAAUCUAAACUAGUCCUGAUUGGCUAUUUUAAACAGGAGGGGUGUGGGUUACAGCAGUGGGAAGAGCAGUUGCCACGAGCGAGGGAGACUUUUCCAGAUAAGGAACAAAUGCGGGUUACAGGUUGGGAUUGGUGGGAGAAAUGUUUACAGAAUGGGUAAUUAGGAGUGGGAAGGUAUGAGGAAGUUGACCUUAAGAACAAAGAACAAGGAAGUUAAACUUUGAAGAGAAACCCAUCAUACCUAACAGUCUUGUAAGAAAGGAUGACAAAGUGAUUGAACAUUGGGUGGAGCUAAUUUUCCUUGGCCAAUUCACUUAGUAAGAUAAGGAGCUCCAAAUCAUAUUUAAGUUGGGAGUCAAUUGAUUUUACUUAAUUCUUGUGAGGUUCAGUUAUAAGAUUCAUCAUACUACUACCAUGAGCCAUCCUCAGCUCCUUGUUACAUGGGCCUGUUAACAUGGCAGCUUUGUCUAUAAGCAAACCCAGGAGAGAAAGACAUAGCAGAGAUGGAUGUUUGAAGUCUAUACCUUCCACCCCCUUUAAAGAGAAAGUAACACCACUCCUUUUCUGUGUCCCUUGGGGACACUACCUCCAUGUCUGGUCACAUGGCUGGACUUUACAGCAGAUAAGCAUACUGUGGCCUGAGACCAUGAUUGUAUGCUUUCCUUCUGCUGACCUUUACAAUCCCUCAAUAAAUUGAGCUAACACAGGGAAGCUUUUUUACCAAAUAACUGUGUUGCAUCAUCCUCCAGUUUGCCUGGUGUCCUUAAUCAAUGGAAGGGGAAUAAGCAAACUGAGUUUUCUUACACCUUUUGAGUAUAGUGUUUUUGCCAUCAUAGAUGUGGCUCCUCAUAAUUCUCCAACUUUUAUAUUAAAAAACCAAAACCUCAAAAAUUGUAGUUCAUGUCAGUCAGUGAUGACUCAUCUUAGAAGUAUUUUGUUUUUGGAUGUGUGAAUGUGCAUAGUUCUUAAAGUCCAACAUUCAUGUAAUAAGACAUCUUGCAUAUAACAAUGACCCUUACGUCUAAGAUGUUAAAUAGAUCCUAAGCCUGGUAUAACUUUAUUCAAGUAUCCUUAUUUGCCCCUAAAAUGUCUUUAAUACACAUUACUUGGGUUAUUUCUUGAAUGAACAUACAGGUAUCCCAAUUUCUGUUUUUAAGAGAAUGGGGUCUUGCUCUGUCACCCAGGCUGGAGUGCAGUGGUGCAGUCAUGGCUUACUGCAUCCAUGAUCCUCCUGCCUCAGCCUCCCAAGUAGAUGGGACUGAAAGCACACACUGCCAUCCCUGGCUAAUGUUUUCAUAUUUUGUAGAGUUGCAGCCUUGCUACGUGACCCAGGCUGGAGUGUAGUAGCUAUUCACAGGCAUGAUUGCUUGAAACUCAUGGCUUCAAGGGAAACUCCCACCCUCAAUAUCCUCAGUAGCUGCAACUACAGCCAUACCCCCCACUGCUCAGCUUCUCAUCCUUUAAAAGAUUUUUACUGGUAGUGUCCUCAUUCUGGGUUUUUGUCUUCUGUGUUUACUGUGACAUGAAGUCAUUUUUAGAUGAAGGUUAAACAUUUUGCCAACGCAGGUACAAUAUGGGAUUCAAUAAAAGUACAGAAUUAAAGUUGUCUUAUUAGAGAUUGGGAAGUUUCCCAGCUCCGUUUAUCGGUACUUGGCCGUACCGAUAAAGGGGAUGGACUUGGAGUGACCAGGUCUUAGUCACAUGUAUUUUCAUACCCUAAACAAGAAGCGGUAUAGACCAGAAUGGAGCACUGAUUGUAAUCCACCUUCUUUCUUAGAAACUGGCGAUGGAAUAUGAGAGGAGCCCUCUGGAAAGAAAAGGACAGACCCUGUGCUUUCAUGAAAGUGAAGAUCUGGCUGAACCAGUUCCACAAGGUUACUGUAUACAUAGCCUGAGUUUAAAAGGCUGUGCCCACUUCAAGAAUGUCAUUGUUAGACUUUGAAAUUUCUAACUGCCUACCUGCAUAAAGAAAAUAAAAUCUUUUAAAUCAAAAUGCUGUUUUGUUUGGCCAUUGGAGAUAACCAUUGAACAGGGAUAACAAGUAGUAGUUAGGUAUUUGCAGUUUCAUUUGGUUUUAGUUUUUUGAGGGGAGAAUCACCCUAGUGGGCAGUUGGUUUCUGUGGGCAAAGCCUGCUUUCCACAGGUAUUGUGCCUCGUGAUUGGCUUCUGCAUUGGAAACCUAAGAAUAAGCAAGCACACUUGGGCCAGAAUUCAAAGCAGAGGGUCAAUACAGAGGUAUCUCACUUGUAUGCUUACACCUGCACAAGAUCGUGUAUGUUAAAUCGUGGGUAUUAGGCCUUAAUGGUUGCAUGAGAUGAGUAAGGAUGAUGUGGGCUAUGGUAUUUGUUUAUAAACUUCAUAGGAAAUUGCAAAAAUAGGCUGCAUCAUUUAUCAAUAUGUGAUGAUUUUUUAUUUAAAAUACACAGUGAAUAAUUUUUUAAGUAUCUUAAAAUCUCACCUCAAAGAUGGGACCUCUAGAUUUCUUUUUUUUUUCUGAGGCAGAGUCUCGCUGUGUCACCCAGGCUGGAGUGCAGUGGCAUGAUCUCAGCUCACUGCGAGCUCUGCUUCCUGGGUUCACAUUCUCCUGCCUCAGCCUCCCAAGUAGCUGGGACUACAGGUGCCCGUCACCACGCCCGGCUAAUUUUUUGUAUUUUUAGUAGAGACGGGUUUUCGCUGUUUUAGCCAGGAUGGUCUUGAUCUCCUGACCUUGUGAUCUGCCCACUUCGGCCUCCCAAAGUGCUGGGAUAACAGGCAUGAGCCACUGCGCCCAGCCUGGGACCUCUAGAUUUCUAAAAUGACUCCUGGUAUUGACUCAGAAUCCCCUCCCCUUGACUAGGCUGGACCUAGUGUAACUUCUGAGACUUGCUAGCUCUUUUUCUCAUUCUCCUUGGCUUGCUCACUUUUUUUUUUUUUUUUUGAGAUCUCAGCUCACUGCAACCUCCGUCCCCUGGGUUUAAGCAAAUUCUCCUGCCUCACCCUCCCGAGUAGCUUGGAUUACCACGCCUGGCUAAUUUUUGUAUAUUUAGUAGAGGGGGUUCACCAUGUUGGCCAGGCUGGUCUUGAACUCCUGACCUCAAGUGAUCUGCCUGCGUCAAGCCUCCCAAAGUGUUGGAAUUACAGGCGUGAGCCACCACGCCUGGCCUAGCUUGCUCACUUUUAAUUAAGCUGCCAUGUUGGGAGAGGCCAGCGUAGCAAUCAACUGAGGUUGAACCAUUAGUGUGGGAGGAGUUACCCAACAACCAUGUGAGUUUGUAAGCACGUCUUUCUGUAGCGGAGGCUUGUGAGAAACCCUGAGAGCGGACCCACCCAGAUUGUGCUUGGAUUUCUGACCUAUGGGAAAUGUAUUUCAAGCCACUAGGUUUUGAGAUAACUUGCUACAAAGCAGUAAAUUCACAACUCUAUAAUGCCCACUCUAAAGGUCCUGACAUGGGCAUCUCCAUUACCUAAGUCAACUGAUGCUACUUCAAUUUCUCCACGUAGCAUUUGAAGCGUUUAUGUCUGGCCCCAGCCUACAUUUUCAGACUUAUUUGUGCAUUUGACUUAACAUGUCCAAAACUAAAUGCCUGAUGCUUCACUCACCUAACCCCAUUCCCUGCAAGUCUGUGCUUCCUGCGAUCUUCCCUUCCCAGGUAUUGGCAACACCAGAAGUCCAGUUGGUCAGGAGCUGUGGAAUCAACCUCAUGUACCAUGUGAAUCCCUUGGCAAAUGCUAUUGGUUCUACCUUCAAAAUACAUCUGAAACCCACCCCCUCUUAGCGUCUUCAUUGCUACCACCUUGGUACAAACCAUCAAACAAGCUUGGAAUACUGGUCUCUACUUCAGCCUUUGCUCCCUACGAUCAAUUGAGAUGCAACCAGAGCGAUCUGUGAAAACCUGAAUUAGGUAUGGAGCUCUCUGCUCAGAAGCCUCCAGUGUCUUCCCCACCUCACACAGUAAAAGCCAAAGUCCAUCAGGGCCUACAUGAUCUUCCCCUUCCCUUAACCUCUAACUUCAUCUCUUCCCUUUCAAUCUUAGCCACAUGGGCCCCCUGACUUCUCCAUUCCUUUAGGAUUACUCCAACCUCAGUAUCUUAGCACUUGAUUUUCCCACUGCCUGGAAUGAUCAGCCCUAGACCCCCAGAGCUUUGCACAGCCCUCUGCCUUGUGUCAUUCAGGUAUUUGCUCUCACUCCCUCUGGGGAACUGUCUAAUCAUCUCUAUCACUUUCUAUUCCCUUAUCUUGUUUUUUAUUUUUUUAAAUAGAAACUGUUGCUCAGGCGGGUCUCAAACUCCUGGGCUUAAGGGAUCCUCCCUAUUUGGCCUCCCAAAGUGCUAGAAUUACAGGCAUGAGCCACCAUGCCUGGCCAUGUUUUUACUUAGUGCCUAACAGGUACUGCCUAUGUGUAUAGUAUAUACAUGCAUGUACAUAUACAUCUAUGUAUAUGUGUAUAUAUAGUUUGUCAUACAGCUGUUAAGUGGCAGAGCAUGCAUUUGAUUCUGUCAGUCUGCUCUUGUAUUUGUGGGGUGUUUGUUUUGUUUUUUGAGACGGAGUCUUGCUGUGUCCCCCAGGCUGGAGUGCAAUCUCAGCUCCCUAUAACCUUCGCCUCUUGGGUUCAAGGGAUUCUCCUGUUUCAGCCUCCUGAGUAGCUGGGAUUACAGAAGCCUGCACGGUGCCCCUUAAUUUUUGUAUUUUUAGUAGAGGUGGGGUUUCACCAUGUUGGCCAGACUGGUCUCGAACUCCUGACCUCAAGUGAUCCACCUGCCUAGGCCUCCCAAAGUGCUGGGAUUACAGGCAUGACCCACGUGCCUGGCCUGGCACUUGUAUUUGUAACCCUUGGCUUAAUUGCAACAUGUUACUUCAAUGCAGUCUAAUGGAUACAGGAAGGAGAUAAUUUCUGGCUCUUAAAAGCUCAAAUGCUUUUGCUGGACUUCUGUGUUGAUGAGAUACCACUGAGGUCAGAAAUGGCCCCAAAUACCUGCCAGCCAGGGGCCAGAGAAGCUUCCUGGAGAACUCCCAGCCACACCCAUAGUCUCAGCUUUGCUGUUGCUUCUCUGAGCUCCAAGGCAGUUGUAGGCCUCUAAUGAUCAAACUAUUGGCAACCCGUCUCUAGCUUUAGCUCCUACCAGUCCCACCAAACAUUUGAUGCUUCAGUCUCGUUUUACCUCUUUGUCUUAUUGACUGAGGAGUCCUUUCCUUCUAUAAGCUUCAGUUUCCUCAUCUGUGAAAUGAGGUUUAUUGGGUGCUUGCCACGUGCCAAUAUUGUGCUAUUAUCUCAUUUAAUCUAUACCCCAACUCUGUUAUUACCCUAUUUUAUAGAUAGCAAAACAGGCUCAGGGAGGUUUGGUGAGUUCAUGUACCUUGAAGGUGGUUCUUGAAAGCUGGGAUGUGAACCAGUACUAUCCUAGGCCCCUAAUUUCCAAGGGCCUUUGCUUAAGACCCUCACCAACUGCAUGGGUAAAAGCACAAGCAUGGCCAGGCGCGGUGGCUCACGCCUGUAAUCCCAGCACUUUGGGAGGCCGAGCCGGGCAGAUCACAAGGUCAAGAGAUUGAGACCAUCCUGGCCAACAUGGUGAAAACCCGUCUCUACUAAAAAUACAAAAAUUGGCUGGGCGUGGUGGCCCGUGCCUGUAGUCCCAGCUACUUGGCAGGCUGAGGCAGGAGAAUCACUUGAACCCUGGAGGUGGAGGUUACAGUGAGCCGAGAUUGCACCACUGCACUACACCUUGACAAUGGAGUGAGACUCCAUCUCAAAAUAAAAACAAAACAAAAACAAAGAAAAACCCACACAAGCAUUUCUGGAAAGCUGUGGGAAAAAAUAAGAGAUUCACAAUGUCUUCCAGAAUUUUAGCUGAGAGGUGGUGGUAUUAUCUCCCCCAUACCCCACUACUCAUUUUCUGGGAACAGAGCAGUUUUACAAAUGGUUUGGAGCUUGGGCUUAUUCCCAGCUCCUGGCAGACAGCAGUAACUUCCCCAGAUCUCCUAUCUGUAAAGUGGGCAUAACAUGUCUUUCCUCCUGGAGUUACUGUGAGGAUCAAGUGAGACAAUGUGUCCUCUAAAUGCUUGACCACAGGGUUAGGUCAGUAAUUGUUGCGGGAAGUCAGGGACCCCAAACGGAGGGACCGCCUGAAGCCAUGACAGAAGAACGUGGAUUGUGAAGAUUUUAUGGACAUUUAUUAGUUCUCCAAGUUAAUACUUUUGUAAUUUCUUACGCCUGUCUUUACUGCAAUCUCUAAACGUAAAUUGUAAAGAUUUCAUGGACUUCCCCAAUCAAUACCCUUGUGAUUUCCUAUGCCUGUCUUUACUUUAAUCUCUUAAUCCUGUCAGUUGAGGAGGAUGUAUAUCGUUCCAGGACCCUGUAAUAAUUGCGUUAACUACAAAAAUUGUACAGCAUGUGUGUUUGAGCAAUAUGAAAUGUGGGCAUCCUGAAAAAAGAACAGGAUAACAGCAAUUGUUCAGGGAAUAAGAGAGAUAACCUUAAACUCUGACUGCUGGUGAGCCGCGCAGAACAGUCAUAUUUCUCUUCUUUCAAAAGCAAAUGGGAGAAAUAUCGCUGAAUUCUUUUUCUCAGCAUGGAACAUCCCUGAGAAAGAGAAUGUGCACCUAGGGAUAGGUAUCUGAACUGGCCCCACCGGGGCGUACCUGUCUCUUAUGGUCGAGAUUGCAGAGGUGAAAUAAACUCCGGUCUCCCAUAGCGCUCCCAGGCUUAUUAGGAAGAGGAAAUUCCUGCCUAAUAAAUUUUGGUUGAUCUCAAAACCCUGUCUCCUGAUAAGAUGUUAUCAAUGACAAUGGUGCCCGAAACUUCAUUAGCAAUUUUAAUUUCGCCUCGGUCCUGUGGUCCUGUGAUCUCGCCCUGCCUCCACUUGCCUUGUGAUAUUCUAUUACCCUGUUAAGUACUUGAUGUCUGUCACCCACGCCUAUUCACACACUCCCUCCCCUUUUGAAAAUCCCUAACAAAAACUUGGCUGGUUUUUGUGGCUUGUGGGGCAUCACGGAUCCUACCAACGUGUGAUAUCACCCCCGGACGCCCAGCUUUAAAAUUUCUCUCUUUUGUACUCUGUCCCUUUAUUUCUCAAGCCAGCUGAUGCUUAGGAAAAUAGAAAAGAACCUACGUGAUUAUCAGGGCAGGUCCCCCGAUAAGUAAUAGUCAUCUUCAUCCGAGUGAAAAGGAAUAAACUAGUGAUUGUGCAACAACUUGGAUGAACCCCAGAGAUGCGAUGCUGACUGAGGGAAGCCAGCCUCAAAUGGUUACAUGCUGUGUGAUUCCAUUUAUUUGACAUUCUGGAAAAGACAAAGGUAUGAUGAAGGGAAGAGAUGAUGGUGUUGCCAGAAGUUAGGAUGGGUGGCGGAUGUGGAUGUAAAGGGAUCGCACAAGGAAGUGUUUGGGGUGUCAUGAUUGCCGUAGUGGUUAUAUGAAUGUACUGGGCCAGGCAUGGUGGCUCACGCCUGUAAUCCCAGCACUUUGGGAGGCCCAGGUGGGUGGAUCACCUGAGGUUAGGAAUUUGAGACCACCCCGGCCAACAUCGUGAAACCCCAUCUCUCCAUCUCUACUAAAAAUACAAAAAUUAGCUAGGCGUGGUGGCGCGUGCCUGUAAUCCCAGCUACUUGGGAGGCUGAGGCAGGAGAAUCACUUGAACCUGGAAGGUGGAGGCUGCAGUGAGCUGAGAUCGCACCAUUGCACUCCAGCCUGGGCAAUAGAGUGAGACUCCGUCUCGAAACAAAACAAAAACCCAGAUUUAUAGAACUGUACAGCAAAAUAAAAAAAUAGUUUUAUUGUAUGACAAUUUUUUUAUUAUUUAUUUUUGAGACAGGGUCUUGCUCUGUCACCCAGGCUGGAGUGCAAUGGUGCGAUCUUAGCUCACUGCAGCCUCCACCUUCCGGGUUCAAGCAAUCCUCCCACCUCAGCCUCCUGAGUAGCUGUGACUACAGGUGCGUGCUACCACACUCAGCUAAUUUUUAAAUUUUUUUAGAGAUAGGGGUCUCACUAUGUUGCUGGAGUUGAUCUCAAACUCCUGGUCUCAAGUGAUCCUCCUGCCUCACCCUCCGAAAGUGCUUUUUAAAAAUGUUAAAAACAAACAUAGGCUCUGGAGCUAGACUUGGGUUUAAAUCCCGGCUCUGUUAUGUAUUAGCCAUUGGCUCAAUCUUCUUUUUCUUUUCCUAGAUUUUGCCUGCCUGAGCUCCUCUAGUAGUGGCCACAAUUGCCAGAGAAGAUAGAGCAGGUCUCUCCCAGGACUUGCAGCUCCAGCCUGUGUCUGCAAGGGGUGUUGUAGCGACUGAUUUCUCCAGCCCAUGGCAAGAGGCCUUCAUCUUGUGCCUGGAAAGAGGGAAGUACAAGUCCGUCUGGCAGAGAUGGUGCAGAUGGGCAAGUUUUUCAGACACUGCAGCCAGCACUUCUGGGACCGCAGCAGUGGAGCCUGCAGAGGGCCGGUUCUCCAGGCAUGGGCUACUGACAUUGUCACUUCCAGACUCCUUAUGCAAUAAACAACCCCUAAACAGAUUUAUUCACAAUUUCUCCAUCCUAACAAGUCAGUGAUCAGUUUUCACUUUUCCACAUUCCCUUCUGUCCCCAUUAUGUUCCCAUAGUGGGGCAGCUUCUACCUGCAUGGUUGGAGCUUCCCAUUUUUAAAGAGGCAAGAAAUCCUUUAAAGUUCUUUGAAAUGUUUGUAGCCUGUUCCAAUUUUAUAAACUGUGAAGACUGAGCAACACACAAUGCAUGGGCCUCAUAUGGCCUGGAGGCCACCAGUUGGAGACCUCUGUAGCUUGAGCUGUGUCCCUUUCAGCACUGUUCUUGUCAUUCCUGAGCUGGGAUGCCCCCUGAAACAUAGGAUGCUCAGUUAAAUUUGAAUUUCUUUUUUUUUUUCCUUGAAAUGGAGUGUCGCUCUGUCGCCAGGCUGGAGUGCUGUGGCGUGAUCUCAGCUCACUGCAACCUCCACCUCCCUAGUUCAAGUGAUUCUCCUGCCUCAGCCUCCCGAGUAGCUGGGAUUACAGGCAUGCACCACCACACCCAGCUAAUUUUUGUAUUUUUAGUAGAGACAGAGUUUCACCAUGUUGGCCAGGAUGGUCUUGAUCUCCUAACCUCAUGAUCUGCCCGCCUCGGCCUCCCAAAGUGCUGUGAUUACAGGUGUGAACCACUGCGCCCGGCCGAUGGCAAUCAUUCUUUAAGAUGCAGCCUCCGUGGACCUCGUACCUUCUCAGUAAUUUCCAUAUUCUUUGCUGACUUGGGUUUUUCCUCCAAAAUUGUCUGGGAUAAAUUGAGGUUUGUGGAGUUUCCUGAUGGCUAGUUUCCAAACUGGCUUCAAAGCCUGGGCUUGUGGAAUUGGCUGGGUCUGCGGCCAGCCUAACCCAUCCUUCGGUCACAGUCUCCCAUGGUCCUGAUAUUAAUUCAUCACAGGUCUGUUUAGAAGGUGGCAGAAACAGACGGUCUUGGGCUUAUUUAUAUCUGUGGCUUUUUUUAAAAGACAGAAAAGGAGAAAUCUGGAUCCUUUCCUUGUCAGCCUCCUUUAACUAAAUGGUCUUUUGCUAAAAUAGACUGGCCCCACUGUGUGGGUAGGAAGGGUUGAGAUGGGAGUGGGCCAAGUGAGUGAGAACUUUUUUUUUUUGCCUUGAUGUUAAAAUGGCAGCAUGUGCAGUCUUCUGCCUCUGCCCAGGUUGACCUGAUGUUUUUACAGGGAGAGAGGCUGCUUGUUGAGUGUGGUGGUAUUUAUCAUAGUGUAUGUUAGGCUGCCUCAAACAUCCCUCGCUGUCGUACCUUUCAGCCAACUCUAAUGUACCUCUCUCAGCCUGAUUUCUCCCCACUUGAGUUAUAAUAACAACAACUGCCUUUUAAAAAAUUUCCUACUGGGCUUCAUGCUAGGUACUUUCCACGUUUUAUUUUUAUUUAUUUAUUUUUUGAGACAGAGUCUCACUCUGUCACCCACGCUGGAGUGCAGUGGUGUGAUCGCAGCUCACUGCAGCCUCAAACUCCUGGGCUCAAGCGAGCCUCCUGCCUCAGCCUCCCGAAUAGCUGGGACUACAGGUUUGUGCUACUGUGCCCGGCUAAUUUUUCUAUUUUUUUGUAGAGACAGUGUCUCCCUUUGUUUCCCAGGCUGAUCUCUCCUGGGCUCAAGCGAUCCUCCUGCCUCAACCUCCCAAAGUAUUGGGAUUACUGGUGUGAGCCACCAUUAUAUGUUUUAAAUAAUUUAUUCCUCACCUCAAGUGAGUGAGGUAACAUCCCAGUUUUACAGACAAGGAAACAGAUUGGGCAGGGGAAGUGACUUGCCUCAGAUGCACAAUAAAUGGCUCUGCCAGUGUCUUCCUUAGCGCCUCCGAUCCCCUUCUCACCCUUGUCCUCUCUGCUCCUCUCUGCUCAAUGCUCCUGGGAGCGUGAACUGCAUUAAUGGCUCCUUGUCUGGUGGCCUCAAGGUUCCCCAGGAGGCAGGGAGGGUGAGGCUGAGAUGUGUGCUCCCCUAAGGCACAUGCCUCAGCCUGGCUGCCUCUGUCUAAGGCCACAGCCCCUCAAGUGCUUCCCCACCUGACUUUCUGGGCUCUGGUAACCGCUUCCUGCCUGCCCCAUCAGGUGUAGGGGGUGCUUCAUGGGUCAACAUUAGCUUAUGUGGUUUCCUUAUAUCCUGGGCGCACCUUUGUUAGUCUCAAAUUACAUUCUGCUUGAACUAUUCUCUAUCCAGUGGGUUGUGACUAUCUAGAGGCAGAGUUGGGAUUUGAACCCCAAGACUUCAAAAUAAGCUCUGUGCAAAUGGCCUCCCAGAGCUGCCUGCUGGUUUCUUCUGCGAGGCCUGGCUUCUCCAUUUUGGCUUGGACCAUGGCCUGCUGUCAUUUCCACAACAGUUGCAGGAAGUUGCCAAAUGCGUUUUCUGUGACUGCCAGGCUGGUGACCCUGUUAAAAACAAAGCAACAACAAAAAAAGCAAUUUCUUCAAUUAAAAUUACAAAACAGAAAAAAAAAAAGAUGUCACACUUGGGGGAAGCUGGUUGAAGUGUACUUGAUAUUCUACAUACUAUUUUCGCAGUUCUCUGUGAAUCAAUAGUUAUUUCCAAAUAAAAUGUUAAAAAAAACUUUAUUACUAAAUCAGAAAAAAACAACAACAAACAACAACAAAAACCAAAGCAGAAUAUGUGGUGCACUGUUGAGGGAAGUACAGAAGGAUAAAAACAAGAAAAUACUGACACAACUCAGACUCCACUGUUGAACCUUAUUUUAUUUUAUAUACUUCUAGGUCUUUUUUUUUUUUUUUUUUGAGAAGAGUCUCAGCUCACUGCAACCUCUGCCUCCCAGGUUCAAGCGAUUCUCCUGCCUCAGCCUCCCGAGUAGCUGGGAUUACAGGUGCCUGCCACCAUGCCUGGCUAAUUUUUGUAUUUUUAGUAGAGACGGGGUUUCACCAUGUUGUGCAGGCUGGUCUCGAACUCCUGAUUCAGGUGAUUCGCCCGCCUCGGCCUCCCAAAGUGCUGGGAUUACAGGUGUGAGCCACUGCGUCAGGCCACUUCUAGGUCUUUUUCUACAUGUUUAUAUAUACACUGUAUGUAUUCUUUACCAAAGUGGGAUCAUACCAUAAUGCUGUUUUUUUUUUGUUUUGUUUUGUUUUUUGUUUUUGUUUUUAAGACAGUCUUACUCUGUUUCCCAGGCUGGAAUGCAGUGGUGUGAUCUCGGCUCACUGCAAUCUCUGCCUCCCAGGUUCAAGUGAUUCUCCUGCCUCAGCCUCCCGAGUAGUUGGGACUACAGGUGCCCACCACCACGCCCAGCUAAUUUUUGUAUUUUUGGUAGGGACGGGGUUUUGCUGUGUUGGCCACACUGGUCUCGAAUUCCCAACCUCAUGUGAUCCACCUGCCUUGGCCUCCCAAAGUGCUGGGAUUCUAGGUGUAAGCCACCACGCCCGGCCUAUAGUGCUGUUUUGUAACCUCUGUCAGUUAACCAUCUCCAUUUUUUCACAUCAAUAAAUUUCCCAUUUGUCCACAAAAGUCCUGUACAGCUGGCAGAGGAUAUGUGUGACUGGAGGCCAUUAGGUCCUUCAGGUUCUUCCAGCCUAGCACCACCCUUUCUUCCCCUUUACCAUAGGGGCUUGUCCUAGAGAACGUCUCACCUUCUGGAUUCAUCUGAGUGUUGCCUUCUGGGGGUGUCACUUCAUUUGUUCCUCUGUAUCCUGCAUCCCCUGUAAAUUGGAGAGUCAAUCUAAAGUUUUGAUAAGAUCAAGUUAAAUAUUUUGGCAAGAAAGCGUCAUACAUGAUGAUGCUGGGCACAUCAGGUGACAUCACAUUUUAUAUUUAAUGGACAAAUAAAAGUUGUAUAUAUUUACUGUGUACAACACGAUGUUUUGGAAUAUGUAUAUGUUGUGGAAUGGCUAAAUCAAGCUAAUUAAAAUAUGCAUUACUUCACUUUUUUUUUUUUUAAGAGACAGAGUUUUGCUCUCGUUACCCAGGCUGGAGUACAGUGGCAUGAUCUCGGCUCACUGCAUCCUCUGCCUCCAGGGUUCAAGCGAUUCUUCUGCUUCAGCCUCCCAAGUAGGUGGGAUUACAUCUGCCACCAUGCCCGGUUAAUUUUUUGUAUUUAGUAGAGACGGGUUUCACCAUUUUGCUCAGGCUGGUCUCAAACUCCUGACUUCAGGUGAUCUGCCCCCCUCGGCCUCCCAAAGUGCUGUGAUUGCAGGCAUGAUACUUCACUUAUUUUUUGUGAUAAGAACACAAAAUCUCUUGAGCAAUUUUUAAGUACACAGUAUAUUCUUAUUGACUAUAGUCACCAUGAUGUACAAUAGAGCUCUUGAAGUUAUUCCUCUUGUUUAACUGGAAAUUUGUACCCUUUGAUCAAUAUCUCCUGAAAACAAUUUUCUCUGCUUCUCUCUUAUGACUUUGACUUAUAUGUGUAGAUGCCACAUAGAAGUGAUAUCUUCCAGCCUGGGCAACAGAGUGAGAUUCUGGUUUUGUUUGUUUGUUUCUUUUUUUUUUUUGGAGACAGUCUCACUCUGUGGCCCAGGAUGAUCUCGGCUCACUGCAAUUCUGCCUCCUGGGCUCAGGUGGUCCUCCCACUUCAGCCUCCCGAGUAGCUGGGACUACAGGCAUGCACCACUACGCCUGGCUAAUUUUUGUAUUUUUUUGUAGAGAUGGGUUUUGCCAGGUUGCCCAGGCUGAUCUUGAACUCCUGGGCUCAAGCGAUCUCUGCCUGCCUAGGCCUCCCAAAGUGCUGGGAUUUCAGGCGUGAGCCACCAUGCUCAGCUGAGACUGUUUCUAAGACAGUCUCACUCUGUUGCCCAGGCUGGAGUGCAGUGGCGGGAUCUUGGCUCACUGCAACCUCUGCCUCCUGGGUUCAAGUGAUUUUCCUGCCUCAGCCUCCUGAGUAGCUGGGACUACACGUGCCCACCACCACGCCCAGCGAAUUUUUGUAUUUUUAGUAGAGACGGGGUUUCGCCAUGUUAGCCAGGCUGGUCUUCAACUCUCGACCUCAAGUGAUCCACCUGCCUCGGCCUCCCAAAGUGUUAGGAUUACAGGUGUGAGCCACCAUGUCUGGCCUCACACAGAAUUUUAAAAACACAUUUUAAAAGUGUAUUCAAGGGUUGACAUGCAAUAGAAUUAGCAAUUUUUACUGCUUUAUCAAGGACAUUCCUAAGUGAAACUGGCUCUCUUCUUGUUACUGUGGGCUUGUAGGGGUGAAGAAUACAGUGAUUACUAAUAGAAUUAGGUGCCACCACUUUGAUUCAUGCUAAGGAGCCAGCAGCUUUGUCCUCUGUUGUUUUUGUACCAUUUAACGCAAAUGUCACAGGGGAAUGUUAAAAGAUAAAGUCUUACUAUCAUUAUGAAAAUUCUUGGCCGGGCGCGGUAGCUCACGCGUAAUCCUAGCACUCUGGGAGGCCGAGGCGGGUGGAUCAUGAGGUCAGGAGAUUGAGACGAUCCUGGCCAACACGGUGAAAACCCAUCUCUACUAAAAAUACAGAAAAUUAGGCGAGCAUGGUGGCAGGCGCCUGUAGUCCCAGCUACUCAGGAGGCUGAGGCAGGAGAAU